rnacentral:rRNA from 1 species
AUGGAAAGUGAAAGUUCCUGCAAAAAUCAAAGUGUUCCUUUGGAGAAUAAGAAAAGCAUUUUAACUAAAGAUUCUUUGAUUAGAAGAGGGUGGAAAGGAUCUAAUGGAUGUGUGCUCUGUGGUAGAGAGGAGCAGAUAGAUCAUUUAUUCUUUACUUUGUUCAGCUGCAUCUUUAUUAUGGAGUUUGUUAAAAUGUGCUUUUGGUCUAAAACCACUCCCACCUCAGUGGAGGAAUGCUUUGGGGAUUGGAUCAAAACUUUUAGAAAAACAGAGCAUAAAUUAGUUCUGGUGGGACUUUCAGCUUUGUUUUGGGCUGUUUGGAAAAGUCGUAAUGCAAUUAUAUUUGAAAAUAAAAGUUAUACUGAUCCUAUGACACUGAUUCAAAUGAUGAUAUACUGGAUUACGGCAUGGUGUAUUUUGCAGGUAAAGGACUGA